UGUGGCCAAGUUUUUAAGGGCGCACGGUGGAUGCCUUGG
rnacentral:rRNA from 1 species